UACGUAGGGCGCAAGCGUUGUCCGGAAUUAUUGGGCGUAAAGAGCUCGUAGGCGGCUUGUCACGUCGGGUGUGAAAGCCCGGGGCUUAACCCCGGGUCUGCAUUCGAUACGGGCUGGCUGGAGUGUGGUAGGGGAGAUCGGAAUUCCUGGUGUAGCGGUGAAAUGCGCAGAUAUCAGGAGGAACACCGGUGGCGAAGGCGGUGGUCUGGGCCGGCACUGACGCUGAGGAGCGAAAGCGUGGGUAGCAAACAGG
rnacentral:rRNA from 1 species